UCAAAGCAAAGACGUCGAAGGGUGGUGUGAUAUCAACAUGGCUACAAUAAUAUGAGGCUGCAUUUUUUGGCUUUGAUGUCAUUCGAACUACGAUCUGGCGGGUCAUACUAUCUGUAAAGAAGAGUCUGCCGAUGUUUUUAAGACACAAGAAAAAGGAGCUUGACCAGGUGCAGAAGGCAACACUCACCAUCAUUGCUGUUGAGGAGGAAGAGGGAACUUUUUACCUUUUAACCCACUGGAUAUUUUGAUUGUCUUUGAAGAUGAG